rnacentral:misc_RNA from 1 species
GAUGAAGAACGCAGCAAAAUGCGAUAAGUAAUGUGAAUUGCAGAAUUCUGUGAAUCAUCGAAUCUUUGAACGCACAUUGCGCCCGCCAGUAUUCUGGCGGGCAUGCCUGUUCGAGCGUCAUUUCAACCCUCAAGCACAGCUUGGUGUUGGGACUCGCGUUAAUUCGCGUUCCCCAAAUUGAUUGGCGGUCACGUCGAGCUUCCAUAGCGUAGUAGUAAAACCCUCGUUACUGGUAAUCGUCGCGGCCACGCCGUUAAACCCCAACUUCUGAAUGUUGACCUCGGAUCAGGUAGGAAUACCCGCUGAACUUAAGCAUAUCAAUAAGCGGAGGA